rnacentral:misc_RNA from 1 species
GGAAACUGCGGAAGAUCAUUUACCACACCGAUCCAAGAUCAGUCUUCAUUGUGAAUCUGAUUUCAGAGGCAGCCUCGUGCUGUUCUCUGUCGUCAACUUUAACCCUGGUGCCACCGAGUCCGUGCAAUACUUUGCUUGGGUUUCGUUGGUGUCCAAUUUACCCCCCAUAUUCUAUAUGGAAACUGGAAAGAACCAAAUGACCUAAAGCUAAAGUGCAGUUGGUCUGGUGUUGCGCCUUGUGCCAACGCCGCCCUGUACACAAACCUAAUGACUUACAACUUUCAGCGGUGGAUGUCUAGGUUCCCACAACGAUGAAGAACGCAGCGAAAUGCGAUACGUAAUGCGAAUUGCAAGACCUCGUGAAUCAUUAAGAUUUUGAACGCACAUUGCGCUUUCGGGAUUUUCCCGGUAGCAUGCUUGUCUGAGUGUCUGUGGAUCCCCCUCAGCACUGGUCUAUUCUGUAGGCCAGUAGCUGGUUGCUUUGGCCUUGACUGCCUCUGGCUGUCUCUGCUUAAAUUCUACAACACGUACGUGCAUAGAUCUAGAAACGUCCCAGCCCGUUCUGACGACGGCGUUGACAUUCUCAUCUAUCUCUGGUAGCUUUUGUCUCUGGAGUUCAAUUGAGUUUGUUAUCAGCUGUUGGAAGGACUACUGAGUCGACCUCUAAGUCUAGCUUGCAGUUUACUGCUCGCUAUCUAAUUCCGGAUCUCAGAUCAAGCAAGAUGACCCGCUGAACUUAAGCAUCUGUC